rnacentral:rRNA from 1 species
UACGGGGGGGGCAAGCGUUGUUCGGAAUUACUGGGCGUAAAGGGCUCGUAGGUGGCCAACUAAGUCAGACGUGAAAUCCCUCGGCUUAACCGGAGAACUGCGUCUGAUACUGGAUGGCUUGAGAUUGGGAGAGGGAUGCGGAAUUCCAGGUGUAGCGGUGAAAUGCGUAGAUAUCUGGAGGAACACCGGUGGCGAAGGCGGCAUCCUGGACCAACACUGACACUGAGGAGCGAAAGCCAGGGGAGCAAACGGG